rnacentral:lncRNA from 1 species
CGUCUAACAAUCUCAUAUAGGUGUGAUGGUGGGGUGUCCGCAUACUUUUGGCCAUAUGGUGUAUAUAUAUUCAGAUCACAUACAAAGGCCGGGUUUCAAUAUCCUGUUUGCCUUUGUGAAUCAGACUUCAAGUCAGUCAUGCAUUGCUACAACCUGAAAGUGAACACAGAGGUUUUUGUCUUCUUUCUGACAGAGAAAGCGAGAGGCGUUGAACGCCCGAGCAUCCUGUCAGAGGUGGACCUGGGCUGUGUCUCACCAGUCUGAAGUGUCUGCCUCUUCCUUCACUACCUUGCCUCUCAUUUAUCUCCUUGAAAGAACUGGGCCAGAACCAGAAUGUCUGGACCAGAACCAGAACGUGCCAAUCGCAGAAAUGGUGCCACCCACCAUGUGAUUGUGAGCUUUCAGUGUUGCGGUAGGAGAGGAGACAAGGAAACAAACGGAGGAAGCGAUUCUUGCCAGAUGAAACGCAGUGCGAGCACAGGGGUUUGUGGUCUGUGACUCAAUUCCUGUCAGAUCCUUGAGCUAGACAGAAAACGUAUUUUUUGUCUUCACGUGUGAUAAACUUGAAACUGCUUUAACGGAUCAGACAUUAGAAAUAUUUACACAUCAUUAAUAUGCAGUUGCUUUGGAGUCACCUGUUUCUCCUGGGUGUAGUACUGGUCCGGUCCACUUCAAGAGCAGAAUACCCAUUACAUACGACAACAAGACCCCCUAUGAGCACAAGAACCCCUACAGACAUAAGAUCCUCUACAGACACAGGAUCACAGCCAAACGAGAACCAGAAGGUCGUUACCACAGCCAAUGACACUCCCACACCCGCUAACACCUCCUCACUCAACUGCACCCAGAGGACUUCCACAGCCCCGCCGCCCACGACCCCGGUCAUAACGGACUCCACCCACACCAGCAGCAAUGCCACGGGUGGCGACAACCCGUCCCAGGACCAGACCACGGUCGUACCCCCGUCAACCGAACCCACUUCGACCGUUACCACAGGGACACCGCGGCUGGUGCAAACCAUCGGCCAAUCAGAGGCAAAGGUGACCACUGCCGCGGGGACAGAUGUCGUUCAGACCACCAUGACAGGCGCACGACAGGGUUACGUAAUCCUGUUCUUCAUAUUAAUGGCCAUUUUCUUUGUGCUGUUUGGUAUCUACUUCCUGAGAAAGAAGUCCAGGAGAUACUCGUUUGACCUGCAACGACCAGGUUACGACCAUGAGACCCCGCUCACUGGCAUGGAACAACCCGGAACCUUUGAACCCACCAAAGAGAAGGCUGGAGGGUUUGAGAGCAUUAGCCAGGGUGGGGCUGAGGGCAGGGCUGAGGAAGACCCCCAGACCCCGGUGCCCAACGGGUCGGCUGGGGAGCCCGACGCCACCAUGUCCCCUGGAGAGAACGCAAUAGAGAAGAAGGAUGAUGAUGAUGAUGAAGACAUCUUCAAUCUCUGCUCUGAGAUCAGUCUGACUCCACCAGUGAAGAGGGUGGGCUUUAGCUUGGACCUGGACCUGAGUGACAAGCUGUCAAACAAGUCAGACGCUGGAGACAAGGAGCAGAAUGCCAACAACAAUAAUGUUGCUAUGGCAAUUUUCCCUGACACUCUUGGCCUGACCUUUGACCCCAUGGGUUCAGUUGGUGUCUUCAGUGACAUCAGUCUGGAUGUAUAGACAGACAGACAGACACACACACCUAAAUUAGUCAGUGGGUAAAAAGGUUCCUCUAUGCCCUAUUUUUUGUAACAUCUCAUCAGGAGCAUGCCCAGAUGUUGUCAGGCAUGCCUACAGGCAUGUGGGGACCAUACACACUACUGAGUAACAAUGUGUUGCCGUGAUGAAAUUCACAGUAGUUACUUUAGCUUUUUGAGUGUGAAUCCAUUCCUCAAUCGGUUGGUGAUUUUGGCUUUCAUUGACCAUUUUUACGUUAUUAUGUUCUCAAUGAAAUACACAAUGUACAGUGAAACUUAGGAUCCUUCAUGUAAUCCCUUCAUCGAGACACCGUGUGAUUUUAGUAAUCCCUUCAUUUUUUUAAAUACUUUUUUUGUGGGUGUUUUUAUGUUAAACAUGAAUUGCAACAAAAGCGGACAAUUUCGGUGUGGUUCUCUUUCAGAAUAAAGUUUUUUCAACCAAGGA